rnacentral:rRNA from 1 species
UCCGGAAUUAUUGGGCGUAAAGAGCUCGUAGGCGGUUUGUCGCGUCUGCUGUGAAAUCUGGGGGCUCAACCCCCAGCCUGCAGUGGGUACGGGCAGACUAGAGUGCGGUAGGGGAGAUUGGAAUUCCUGGUGUAGCGGUGGAAUGCGCAGAUAUCAGGAGGAACACCAAUGGCGAAGGCAGAUCUCUGGGCCGUAACUGACGCUGAGGAGCGAAAGCAUGGGGAGCGAACAGG